AGGUGUGAUCAUACUAGCAUUAAUGCACCAGAUCCCAUCAGAACUCCACAGUUAAGCGUGCUUGGGCUAGAGUAGUACUUGGAUGGGUGACCUCUUGGGAAGUCCUAGUGUUGCACCCU
rnacentral:rRNA from 1 species